GACGAACGCUGGCGGCGUGCUUAACACAUGCAAGUCGAACGAAGUGGCGAACGGGUGAGUAAUACGUGAGUAACCUGCCCUCCUUUUUGGGAUAAGCCUUGGAAACGGGGUCUACUACCGAAUAUAGGGGGUUGGGCUCGCGGCCUAUCGGCUUGUGGGUGGGGUAGUGGCCUUCCAAGGCGACGACGGGUAGCCGGCCUGAGAGGGCGACCGGCCACAUGGGGACUGAGAUACGGCCCAAACUCCUACGGGAGGCAGCAGUGGGGAAUAUUGCACAAUGGGGGAAACCCUGAUGCAGCAACGCCGCUUGCGGGAUGACGGCCUUCGGAUUGUAAAGCACUUUAAGUUGGGAGACGUUACCAACAGAAUAAGCACCGGCUAACUUCGUGCCAGCAGCCGCGGUAAUAC
rnacentral:rRNA from 1 species